AAGGUGAGUGAUCAUCGAGUAUCCUUUGAGUAGACGGGAAUUAAAGGUUAAAAUCACUUAAACACAACACUUUCCGUGGGAGUCAUUCGCUGGAAUGUUCUUAAGAGGUUACUUACCAAGGCUGGCCUAAGGAGUUCAUAGCCUGAUAAGACACAGGCCUAGAGAGGAAUGAGCCAAAGAGAUGCUCUGUACUAUGUACAGUUAGUGUUACUAUGGGUUACCUGUGGCUUAUGAGCCUUUGUGAGCUCAAUCAGUGUAGAUUGUCAUCAUAUUCUGUGUUCAGCAUUAAUCCAAGAGUUUAUCAUAGCCUGCAGAGCAAGCUUAAUUUAGGCAAGUUAGUUUGGCUUUCUAUGAAAUCAUGACGGACAGCCGCCCGAACCAGUUUAGGUCCCUGAUGUUUCAGCCAACUGAAAGAAGAAAGAAGCCUAAAGCUCUUUGCAAAAUAAAACGGAAGGGUGUGCAUGUUGGGUGGGGCUGUUUGGUUGAUGAUGCUCCUGGUGAAACCUCUAACUUGACCAAGUACUUUAUCAUCACAAGCAGCAAGGCUAUUCCAAUAGGAAACUUUGAUGCCAAAGAAUAUGAAGUGGAGUUUAAGAAACGAAUGGUAAAGUGCUGUCGUCUAACAGAUAUUGCAAAGACAAUUCAUCAUGUUCUCUCUGGGUUAGUUCUGAUUGCUAUUUAUCCACAGUCGUAUGAAUUCAACCAUGCCAGUUGCAGACGGUACAAAUGCUGCAGUGUUUUGAAAAAAAGUCCCAAGGUACAUGUAGCCAUCAGUGAAAGUCCAUCCCAGUUCUUUUUUAUCGGAAGCAAACGCUAUGAUUUGCACUCAAAGGG
rnacentral:lncRNA from 1 species